rnacentral:rRNA from 1 species
AUUGGGGAGUAAGACUUAAGCGUUAAGAGCGUUUAAGUUUGAUAGUACCCAAAGAGGAAGGGACGGCUAACUUCGUGCCAGCAGCCGCGGUAAUACGAAGGUCCCAAGCGUUGUUCGGAAUCACUGGGCGUAAAGCGUGUGUAGGCUGCGCGGAAAGUCAAAUGUGAAAGCCCGGGGCUCAACCUCGGAACUGCAUUCGAUACUCCCGUGCUAGAGUAAUGGAGAGGUAAGUGGAAUUCCUGGUGUAGCAGUGAAAUGCGUGGAUAUCAGGAGGAACAUCAAUGGCGAAGGCAACUUACUGGACAUUUACUGACGCUCAGACACGAAGGCUAGGGUAGCGAAAGGGAUUAGAUACCCCUGUAGUCCUAGCAGUAAACGGUGCUCGCUUGGUGUGGGAGGAUUCGACCCCUUCUGUGCCGGAGCUAACGCGUUAAGCGAGCCGCCUGGGAAGUACGGUCGCAAGACUAAAACUCAAAGAAAUUGACGGGGACCCGCACAAGCGGUGGAGUAUGUGGCUUAAUUCGAUGCAACGCGAAGAACCUUACCUAGGCUUGACAUGCUUGUCGUACUCUCCCGAAAAGGAGAGGUCACUUCGGGUGGACAAUGCACAGGUGCUGCAUGGCCGUCGUCAGCUCGUGUCGUGAGAUGUUUGGUUAAGUCCAGCAACGAGCGCAACCCCUGUGAACUGUUGCCAGCGCGUAAAGGCGGGGACUCUGUUCAGACUGCCCAGAUCAACUGGGAGGAAGGUGGGGACGACGUCAGGUCAGUAUGGCCCUUACGCCUAGGGCUGCACACGUACUACAAUGCCCAGCACAAUGAGAACCGAUACCGCAAGGUGGAGGAAAUCUGCAAAACUGGGCCCAGUUCGGAUUGGAGGCUGCAACUCGCCUCCAUGAAGUCGGAAUCGCUAGUAAUGCCGUAUCAGCUACGACGGCGUGAAUACGUUCCCGGGUCUUGUACACACCGCCCGUCACAUCAUGGAAGCCGGUCGCACCCGAAGUAUCUGCGCUAACUAUUUAUAGAAGCAAGGUCCUAAGGUGUAGCUGGUAACUGGGAUGAAGUCGUAACAAGGUAGCCGUAGGGGAACCUGCGGCUG